GCCAUGCGAGUCGAGAGGGUUCGGCCCUCGGCAGACGGCUCAGUAACACGUGGAUAAUCUGCCCUUAGGUGGAGAAUAACCUCGGGAAACUGAGAAUAAUACUCCAUAGAUCUAGGAUGCUGGAAUGCACUUAGAUUGAAAGUUCCGACGCCUAAGGAUGAGUCUGCGGACUAUCAGGUAGUAGUCAGGGUAAAGGCCUGACUAGCCUACGACGGAUACGGGUUGUGAGAGCAAUAACCCGGAGACGAUAUCUGAGACACGAUAUCGGGCCCUACGGGGCGCAGCAGGCGCGAAACCUUCACAAUGUGCGAAAGCACGAUGAGGGAAUCCCAAGUGCUUGCUCGUAAGAGUAAGCUGUUUUUAUGUCUAAAAAGCAUAGAGAGUAAGGGCUGGGUAAGACGGGUGCCAGCCGCCGCGGUAAUACCUGCAGCUCAAGUGUUGACCACUAUUAUUGGGCCUAAAACGUCCGUAGCCGGUUUAAUAAAUGCCUGGGUAAAUCGGACCGCUUAACGGUUCGAAUUCCGGGUAGACUGUUAAACUUGAGACCGGGAGAAGUUAGAGGUACUCCUGGGGUAGAGGUGAAAUUCUGUAAUCCUAGGGGGACCACCAGUGGCGAAGGCGUCUAACUAGAACGGGUCUGACGGUGAGGGACGAAGCCCUGGGGGAGCAAACCGGAUUAGAUACCCGGGUAGUCCAGGGUGUAAACGCUGCUUGCUUGAUGUUAGUCGGGCUCCGAGCCCGAUUAGUGUCGGAGAGAAGUUGUUAAGCAAGCUGCCUGGGAAGUACGGUCGCAAGACUGAAACUUAA
rnacentral:rRNA from 1 species